GGGCCGGGGCCGUGCCGGGGGCUGAGCCAGGGCCGUGUCCGCAGGUGAGCCCCGUGCGGAUGCGGCGACCGGGCGAGGGGCAGCGCCGCGGUGCCCGGGCGGUGCCGAGGGGCCGGCCCGGGGCAGGAGACGCGGAUUCCGGCGGAGACUUCCCAGCCGAUCGGCCCGGCGCCCUUCGGAGCGGGAUGGAGGAGCCCGACAAGGAGGGAGAUGGUGCCGGAGGGAAGACCGCCUGGCAGCAGAGCCUGAGUCCCGAGCUGCAGCAGGGAUACCGAAUCCUGCGCGAGUUCCUGCUGGAGAAGUAUCGGCCUCUGACGGCGCCGUUCCUGGAGCCCCUCGCGGAUCAGGCAUCUUUCGGAGAAGGCGGCGCCGGCUCCCCCUCGGGCCAUAACAGCGGCCAGUCCCUUCAGCAGCUGCCAACUGGAAUAUGGCUGUUGAAGAUGGAAGAGAAAUUUUCCAGCGGGCAGUACACAGGGAUAGCAGAUUUCGUGUGUGACUUCCGGCUCAUGCUGGAGACUUGCUAUCGACUGCAUGGUGUGGAUCACUGGCUCUCCAAACAGGCCCAGAAGCUGGAGAUGAUGCUGGAACAGAAGUUGGCGCUGCUGUCCCGGCAUUUAAGAGAGAAAACAUCAUUAGCUGUCACAUCUAGAGGAUGCUAUGGGCAGGAAGAUGAGAAAGGAACAGCAUGCAUUUCCACAAGACGUCGUUCCACACCUCGCAGUUUAGUAGGCUUGUCAACAGGCAUGUUUGAGUCUGUGAUGGUUCAGGUUCUAAGACAAGAGGAGCAGCUGAGAGCAAAAGAGGAAAAGAGGCAGAGAGAUCAAGAAAGAAAAGAAGCAGAAGAAGCUAGUCAGAAAGAAAUAGAAGAAUGGGAAAAAUCACUUUUAGCUCAAGCAGCACCUACAAGGAUGGAGAUGAUGUGGGAGAUUCCAGCUAUUGGUCAUUUUCUUUGUUUAGCACAACAGAUUUUAAAUUUACCUGAAAUAGUAUUCUAUGAAUUGGAACGCUGUCUUCUGAUGCCUCAGUGUAAUGUUUUUUUAUCUAAAAUAAUGACUUCUUUGUUAAGUCCUCCUCAUCGCAGAUCUACGUUACACCGCAGGCCGACAUUUUCUUACAGGACUUGGGAAGCAGCACUGAGAAAAAAAGUACAACACUGGUACACUGUUGUAGGGCAGACUGACAAUCCUAAUGGUGCUGCAGAAAAACUUGGCUUGUGUCCCCAGUUUUUCAAAGUGCUCGGAGAAGUUAAUCCCUUGGAAGAAAAACCAUUUCAUGAGCUACCAUUCUACCAAAAAGUAUGGCUGCUGAAAGGUCUCUGUGACUUUGUGUAUGAAACACAAAAGGAUGUUCAGGAUGCAGUGCUAGGUCAGCCUAUCCACGAAUGCAGAGAAGUAAUUCUUGGUUAUGACUGCUUGGAGAAUGCAUAUGUUCAUUUUCCACAGUUCUGUGGUGCGGAUGUUCGGAUUUACAAACAAAAACCUUUUCAGGCUCCUGAAUUCCCAUCUCUUCCCAUCAAAGUUAAAAAAGUGCCACGUAUUAAAUCGGAAAGAGUAAAACAUGAAUAUGUAGCCAAAAGCAAUGGGGAGGUCAGUUCUCCUGGUAGAGAACUGCUACAUCAUUCCAAGACAGAAGUAGAGAAAAGUAUGGACUCUGUCGUUAUCUGUCCAGAAAAACCCCCACAUUUAGGCACCUUUAGAGUCCGUACAGGGGAGAUAAACUGUGAAAUCAAAGCCUCAGGAGUCUGUGACAUCAAGAAAAGUGUUUAUUAUAAAGAGAACUUGAGGAAUUUGAUUACUUCAGGAAAGAUUGUUGGUAUGGGUGGUGACUCUAGUUCAAGAGAAAUAACAGAUUGGGAGAAUGCACAAAGUUGUGCUGAAAUGGCCAGACUAAGAUCUGAUACGAGUCCGUUCAAGGAGAACACACUGAAAGCUUGCCAAGUGCAUGUCAAUGGCACUUACAAUAAUAACCAAGACAUCAGUUACCAUGAAUCUGCUAAAGAAACAGUGCUAGAGAACUCACUGCGUCAUAAUAAGAAACUAAAUAAGAUACUAGCAAAAAAGAAGAAAAAGAAAAAAAAGAAGUUGAAGGAUAUUCUAAAUGAAAAUCUACAGAGAAAACUUGAUGACCUGCAAAGAAAGCGUGAGAUUCAUCUUCAUCCAUUCAAAUCUUAUAAAUCUGAACUCCAGAACAAGUUGUUUAUAAUUAAAAAGAAAGCAAAACACAAGAAGCACAAAUCUGGAAAAAAAUCGCUUACUAAAAAAGCAAUCACAAAGAAGAGGAAGGGUGUCAGAAAGUCUACCAUACCAGAAUUUCAGCUUAUUUGCACUAAUCUUGAUGAACUCAGGGAAUUAAUCACAAAGAUUGAGAAUGAACUCAAAGAUCUGGAGGACAUUAAAAAGAAAUCGGGAAGAUGGUACCACCGGAAGCAAGCAGUAAAGGAAUUGCAUGGUACGUUGUUACGACUGCUUAAUGAACUGUUACCAUGGGAACCAAAGCUAAUUAAAGCAUUUCAAAGAAACAGGUCUAGAUUGAAGAAGGACUAUGAUGACUUUAAAAGACAUCCAGACCAUGAUAAAUUUACCAGAGAAUUGUGGAGUAAUGAUGAAAGUGAAGUUGAUUCUGGCAAAGAAUCUUUUGCAGUAGUAUGCGGUAAAUCACCAGAGUCUGCAGAACAUGUAGAAGUUCCCAUAAAAGAUCACUCAGACAAUGAUGAAAUGAAACCAUUAGAGAUGAAUUUGCCUGCAGUAAAAAACAGAAUUCUGAAAAAAGAAUCAUCUUCUAAAGAAAUCCAGAAGACACUGCCCAAAUGCAUUAAACGACAGUUCAAACAAAAUAGUUGUCUGGAUCAAAGCACUAAUGAGCUUUCACCGAGGAAGAAACCUAAGCUGAACACUGUUGAGACUGUGGUCCAGAGUUCAGAAAGCAGCCUGCAGCCAGAUAAUUGUUUGACUGAGCUGAAACAAUUUGAAGGGUCAACUUUAGAGUUGUUUUCCUUGACAGAUCCUACAACAUCAGUAUCAAACUUUCUGAAAGGGACCAAACCCAUCCAGGCCUUGCUUGCCAAGAAUACUGGGAACAAAGUGACCUUAACAAAUCAACCAUCGCCUCCCCCAGGCAUAAAUGUAUCAACUUCUGAAAAGUCAGUUUUACCACCUUUGGAAUCAUCAGUGAUCAAACCAGCAUUGCCCUGCCAGGCCAGUUCAAAGACUCCCUUACAAAUGGUAUACAAAAUGCCAAAUGGCCACUGUGUACCAAUAGACCUUCAGAAUAGCUCAGUGAAAAUUCAAAUGCAAACUGUGACUGACCCUAAAACUGGAGAAAAAGUCAUGCAACAAGUUCUUAUUUUACCUAAGAAUUUUCUUCAGCAGCAGGAAGGAAAAAUUGCAUCCAAGGAUGUUCAGCCACUACAGCAAAAAUCAUCUGAGCUGCACUGUGCAUCUUUACCAAAAAUGUCAAAUGUCAGUGUUUCUUUAACACCUGUUCUCAUGACAGGCUCUGCAAAUACUACCACUCAGUCACCUACUACAAUUUUUAGCAAGAAUAUUACCCACUCGUCACAAGUGACUGGUUCCAUGAACACUACACUAUCGUUGCCUGAUGUAACUUCAGCAGGUAACUUACUAUCAUCAACAGUUAAGGUGAACCAAACUGAAACUGACAAAAUCAAGACUACAGUUUUGACUGCUACAUUCCCUGUGUCUUUGACUUCAUCUACUCUUUCCACAUCUAGCCAGUCCUUGAUACCAGCAACAGCAUUAAGUGGGUCUGCGAACACUGAUUCUGCCUGUCAUAGUCUUGCAUUGCAGCAGCCAACUGACUCCUGUGAAACUAGGCAAGAGCUGAAGACUGUAUGUGUAAGAGAAUCACAAUCUAUUCUGGUAACAACACGAGGCGGAAACACAGGCAUUGUUAAAGUGCAAACAAACCCAGACCAGAUUUCACCUAGUAGUUUAUCUUCUAGUCCAGUUUUCACUUACACUUCUCAGCUUCAGGCCUUUCUUGCGCCAAAAACCACAGCAUUAUCAUACUCUUCUGUUCCAUCUCUAGCAACAGCCACAUCUGGUCUGCAACAUAAUGGACAAUCAUCUCUUUCUGGAUUUGCCCCCUCAACAGCUUCUUCUGUUAACAUUCCAGCUUUCCCAGCUGAUUUUACUCAGGCAAUAGAGAAAAAUACCAAGUUUGCACUACAGCAGCCUGCUGUUGGGGACACUUCAGGUCAAGUAAUAGAGAACUCCUGCUAUGUGUCCUCUUCUUUAUCCACCAUUUCUUUAGCUAGCAACAUGAUGUCCACAACUCCAAACAGUCCUGUUAGUGUGACUAGCACUGGACAAAAUAACACUACCAUAACUCCAAAUUCUUCUGUACAUCAUCAAGGGGAUACUAAAAUCAAAACAAAUUCUGUUGUGCAAUCUGAGUCUAAUUCAGCAACAAGUGGAAGUUUAAUCAGUGGUGCUCCGGUCCAGAAAUUUACAUUAGUUACAAAUUCACCAAUUUUGUCUCCCUCUGGAGCAUCAGGAGUCAGUAUUAUACCCUCUCCACCAUCCACUGUUGUUAAUGCUCAGAAGCUGGUUUUCAUUAACACACAAAUUGCCAGUGGCCCAUCAACCACCAAUCUAGUUGCAGAGUCAUUGAGACAGAACCUUCCUUCUCCCCUAACCAAAACCUUUGUUAAUGCCACAGAGCAACCACAUUUGGUUUUGAUCCCAUCUACAGUAGGAGCACCAAUAAGAAUAAAUUCAUCGCCAACUGUUGCUCAAGUAAAAGAUGUAAAAAUUGGCUUAAAUAUAGGUCAGACCAUUGUAAAUACUAAAGGCAAUGCACAGGAGGCCCCACCAGUUAAUAUAUUGCACUCUGCCAUUUCUAAGGGAGAAGACAAAAAGGGCAUUGGCUUGGCGCUGUCUUUGACAAGUAGCAGUACUGUGGUUCCUGCUCCAGCUUUUGCUGUGUCGGCUAAUGAAUCUGUAUGUGUUGCAACAAAAGCUGAAAAUGCCUUUACAACAGCAAAUGCAUGUGUAGAAUCUGUUUCAGUAACAUCAAGUGGGACUUCUUCUGGGCCACGGCCCACUGUCUUGAGUGGUCGCAGUGAUCCCUCAAGAAUAAGGCCAGUUCUGGGUAAUCGACUUUGUACAUCAAGUAUUGGAAAUAUGGGUAUAUCAACUGUGAAAACAGGACAUCUUGCUUCAUCUGUGCUGAUUUCAACCACACAACCAACAGUAUCUCCGCAAAAUUUAGCAUCUGCUUUGCAGUUUCCAUUCAUUAGCUUGCCUGGAUCUGCAGCCGCCCCCCAAAAGGUGUUACAUACAUUUCCUCAGAUAGCAACAGUUCCAGCUCAUCUUCCAGUAUCAAAAAGCCAGUUGCCAACACUGCUUCAGUUUCAGUCAUCAGGAACUUCAGCUGCUAUGGCAAGUCACACAGGUAUUCACAAACCUCAGACUGUGUUGUCCUCUCCGUCACCAAAUGCAGAUGAAGGCAAUGAAGUACUGAGUUUUCAUAGCAACAUGGAGGAACUGGGAAUAGAAUCCUUGGUCCCCUGAACUCCUUCCAACAUCCCAUCCAUUACUAAAGCAGUUCCAAGUUUUUUCUGAAUAUGUUUACCAGAUGAUAAUCCUAAAAUUCCUCCUGAAAACAACAGCACAAGCAAAUCCAGCACUGAAUGGUGUCUAAAAAGGGCAGCUGUUUCAGUCCAGAGUGUCAGGAGCAAUGAGAUGGUUGGGGUGCAUGUGAUGGUAUGCAGAAAUAAAAAUCAAUUACUCCUGCCAAGAUAUUUUUCCAUGGUGGCGCUCAGUGAUGGGACCAGAAGCAAUGGGCACAGAUUGAAACACAGGAGCUGCUCUGAACAUCAGGAAACUUUUUUCUGUGAGGGUGACUGAGCACUAGCACAGAUUGCCUGGAGAGCUUGUUGGGUCUCCCAGACUGGAGAUAGGCAAAAGAUGUCUGGACACAGUCAUGAGCAACCUCCAGGUGGCCCUGCUGGAGCAAAGGGUUUCCUGCACAUAUUCUUAUUUCCAGAGUGGGAAAGGAGGGAAGACACCUUUUAAGAGAAUUGUUGGCUCUAGCUGCUCAUGAAAUCAAAAUACAUACCAGAUUUCAAAAUUCCUACCCCUAGUAUCCUCAGCUAAGGGCUCUGAGUUGCUGUUGGAAGAAAACCAUAAAGCCAUAAAGUCAUACCCUGUAGGAAGCCAGUCGUUACAUACAUCCAGACCAUGUUGAAUCCAAAAAAUCCCAGUGCCAUUCCUGAAAAAGCCAGGAGUCCUCCAGUGAUCACAACUGCCCGAUGGGUGUAUCGUACACAUAAUGAACUGGCAAAAGGGGCUGGAUCAGCAGCAAAAUUGAAGAAAGAAAAAUACAGUGGGAACAUUAAGCUGAUUGACAUGAGAAAAUAAUCAAAUAAUUCAAAUAAAGUAUCCUUAUAACUCUUAUCUCAGACUUAAUUCUUCUGGAUUGAGCAAGACAUCAAUUGAAAUUUCAAAAUUGGAUCCUUACUGACAGGGAAAUGAUUGUCCUGGGGCUCAGAUUUUUAAAUAUAUUCAAAAUAUGUAGUCUUUUUUAAAGUAAAGGAGCAUUUAUUUCACUGCCUUCCUUGCAGGAUAGUUCUACUGAGUUUCAUAUAAGAAUGGAACUAGCAAUGUGAAAGAAACUACUGUGGCAUUUUAGCAGAAAGUGAAACUUCAAUUGUAUUAUUGAGACUGUACUAUUGAUAUGGCUGGCAUGGAAAAUUCCUGGAGGAAAAUAACCUUUCUCCUCUAUAGAGUUUUGCAAAAUCAUCUCUUUAUGGAAUUACAAAAGUUUAUAAAGGAGAAAAAAAUCAGUGUUUAUUUUGUGCUAUUGCUUUUUACAGGAAAUUUGCAGUUAAUUUCUUAAAUCUUUAUUGUAGUGAUACAGUUUCUCUCAGCGGACUGCAGGGACUCUUCAACAUGAGGGCAAAGAUGCAGUAGGUACAGAUCUGAAAGCGCAGCAACUGCUUUGACCUCUAGUCACUAUCUGGAAGCACCUGAAAUGUCAGGGAUAUUUUUGCUUAAUCAAGGAUGUUACAUUGCCUCGCUGUUUUUCCAUCAGCAUUACAGAGAUGGCUGUAAGAUUUCGUUAAAUAGCCGUGGCCACUAGGGGCCUCCCUAGUACCACCUGGCAUCAGUCAGCUCCCUUCAAUCCAUUAAUAUUCUGGGAAUUAGAAUUCAGUUAACGAGGACCAUGCUUGUAAAUUGAAAUAAGUAGGAAGACAGUGAAGAGAGGGCAGUCAGCAAGGAAGGUUUCAUAGUAAUUUGUAGGGGCAAGUUAUUGUAGGUUCAACUGUAUUAGGAUCAGAAUUAGGAGAAUUCAGUGGCUAGGAUGAAUGAAAUAAACCUGGCAGAGUACUAAUGGCUGCAAAAUGUGCAGGAUGUACGUUGUCUGAUAGCAGACAGACCUGGCAGAAGUUAUACAAACCCCAGAUGUCUCAUCAACAUUUACAGCAAAAAUAUGAUGAUUUUAUAAACAUGUAAAAAUUAUACCAAAAUUCAGUCAUGGUCUGCAAGAUGUAGUGGAUGAGACGUGAUAAAGUAUAUACAGUUGGAGAAUCAUACAUUAUGAUGA